UACGUAGGGUGCAAGCGUUAAUCGGAAUUACUGGGCGUAAAGCGUGCGCAGGCGGUUUUUGUAAGCCAGAUGUGAAAUCCCCGGGCUUAACCUGGGAAUGGCAUUUGGGACUGCAAGGCUCGAGUGCGGCAGAGGAGACUGGAAUUCCUGGUGUAGCAGUGAAAUGCGUAGAUAUCGGGAGGAACACCAGUGGCGAAGGCGACUACCUGGCCUGUUCUUGACGCUGAGGCGCGAAAGCUAGGGGAGCAAACGGGG
rnacentral:rRNA from 1 species